UUUGAUCCUGGCUCAGAACGAACGCUGGCGGCAUGCCUAACACAUGCAAGUCGAACGAAGUCUUCGGACUUAGUGGCGCACGGGUGCGUAACGCGUGGGAAUCUGCCCUUGGGUACGGAAUAACUCAGAGAAAUUUGUGCUAAUACCGUAUAAUGACUUCGGUCCAAAGAUUUAUCGCCCAAGGAUGAGCCCGCGUAAGAUUAGCUAGUUGGUGGGGUAAAAGCCUACCAAGGCGACGAUCUUUAGCUGGUCUGAGAGGAUGAUCAGCCACACUGGGACUGAGACACGGCCCAGACUCCUACGGGAGGCAGCAGUGGGGAAUAUUGGACAAUGGGCGAAAGCCUGAUCCAGCAAUGCCGCGUGAGUGAUGAAGGCCUUAGGGUUGU
rnacentral:rRNA from 1 species